AUGAAAACGAUUCGCAGCUUCUUGUGGCCCCUUCAUGGUUUCCCUUCUGUUACUAUGGAAAUGCACACGGGCUGGCAGAACAAAAGGAUCACUGGAAACAUUACUACUGCUUUUACUAAUGCGGUUGUGGCUUGGGGCCUAACACCACGCACGGCAGAGCUGCUGCUGAAGUCAGGGUGCUGCAGUGAGAACAUCGUAGUCCUGCUGGCUGAUCUUGCAGGACUGGGCCCAAAGUAUGAAUUAUUGAUCUAUGAAAAAAAAAUACAUCAGCCCCACGAAUCUCCCAGCUCCAGCUGCACGGGGACACGAUGUCGGCUAGAGGAGCGGCUGCAUCCAGCCUCACCUACGGGCUUUCCUGCACAAGGUCUGGGCCCAUGGGGGUCCGAACCCAUGGCAAGGGGCAGGGGCUGCUCCUCGACUUCUCACAGCCGAGGUGCCUCCGGGGCCACCAGGCACCGCAGAGCUGCAAGCCCAGGACAGAGGCACAUGCUGGGUUAGAAAGCCACCGAGUAGCAGCUUCUGGGGAAAAAACAGGGCUUGGGGAAGGGAGUGUUGCCUAAACCUGGGUUUGGAGCACCUGCCCAAGGAUCCCAGCCCUAGGUCCCACCGCACAUCUGUGACUGAAUUAGGACUAGAUCCCCAAACUCCCGAAUCCUCUUUAACCACAAAUCCCACCUUCUUCUCCUAAGCAAAUACAGAGAUUCACACUUGCAUCUGUCACACACCAGGACCUUUCCCAGGGGCUCAAUUAUGGCCUCCUUGGGAGAAGGAGAUGAGGGAGUGUCUGGCUCAUCACCAGGCUGAGCUUUGUUAGCCCGGCAGUGCUCCUCACCUGGGACAACGGCCGAACCGCUCCAGAUGAGAGGAUCUUGCCUGAACUAAAAGGACUCCAGCUACUUCCCCUGCUCACUGACCUCCCCGCUGGCGGGAUGCUGGCGGCCUGCCUGGGAACGGUGUGCAGCAGCUGACGGCUCCAGCUGCAGCGGCAAAAGGCUGCGAGGGGGUCCAAGGCCACACAGGAGUCAAAAUCAGGGCCGUGAGCGUGUGCCUUGGCUGGUGGAUGCCUUGCAGUUAGCACCUGGUUGUAGCAGCUGGUAGAGCUGGGCAGAUUUAUUUCUGCAACAAGGGUGUUGUUAUCUUUGGUGUUGCCGCUGAUAUAGGUAGGCAGGAUGGGAGAGGGGAGGGAAAGCUGUUCUGAUUAGUACCUGAUGUUCCCAGAAUUUAAAUAAAACAUUUACAUUGUUUUUAUAGUGCCUUGAUGGGCUCCUGCUCCCGUCCGCAGGGAAGUGCAGGCAGCCCCGGCAGAGCCCUGGGGUUCAGUGGGAAGAGUCGCCCUGGGGGAGCCGCAUUGAGAGCCUCGCUGGUGGAGUUUGUUCGUGAAGGACACUCCAACACGCGGGCACCUAGCGCCUCUCAGCUUUGCGCGGCAGGGCGGGCUUGCUUUCUCACAACAGCUAUGAGAAGUCUUCUUUUGGUCUCCAUCGUUUAUACACCGGAGACCAGGCUGAGACCCCCAGUAAAUGACAGCAAUCACCUGCCUCCCCCCAGGUAGCCACAAGGCUGCGGGAGGAAAGAGGCUAUGGCUGCAAUCACCAGCCAAGGGUCUUUGCCGGGGUCUCGAUCUGGUGCGGCUUGCGGUGGCCGACAUGCGUUUGAGGCUCCAUGGGAUAUGGCUGGUUAGAGAAAUGGCAAAGCCACAGGCUGUUCGCUUCACCUGGCCAUGUAGCAAUGCCCCUGGAAAUCAUGUUGCCUCGUUCAGCGUUCAGUCUCCUGGGGUUAUUUCUAUUCUGAGCAGACCUACAUAUCUUUAUUUGAAGUGGUGUUUGUGGUGCAAAGGGAGGAGUGCAGAGCAGCCUGGCUCCUCAGGACAUGAUGCCUGGGGAGCAGUGUGUGAAAUCUGGCCUUCAUGUGAGUGCUCCCGGAUCCAUCAAUCAUGCCUACAGACCUAAGGAUAUCUGCGACUGAAGCACCAGUCUCUGUCCCCUCUUUAACUUGCUAGACCCCAGAAACCAGCAGGUACUGGGAGUAUUUCAUCUCACUUGAGCUCAACGUGCUUAAUGAGCCUGAGAGACAGAAAAAAACCGCCAUGCGCGUGGAAGACGCUCUCUGCACCCUGUUAGCAGCAUUGCCUGCAGAGUGGGGUUGAAAGCAAAGACGAAGUCCAGCCUGAACCCAAGCUCCCUCCCACAAAGUUGUAGGAACCGCGACCAGUUAACUCAUUUUGGGUUAGGAAACUUAGAGAACAGAUAUCUGAGUUUAUUUCAGCAUUUCAAACACUCAAAGCCUGCCUCCCUCCUUCCCCCAAACCAAGGCUAUAGUAAUUGCUUUCUGAAGGCCUGUUUUGUAUUUCUGGAGUCUUCCUACUGGCUUCACUGAAAGCUGCAUCAAACUCUGAGCUCUUUAAAGUUAGUAUCUCAUCUGUACACUAUUUAAAAGCAGAAUGUGAUGUGUCAUAUUGGGGGCCCAUCAUAGAAAGUACAGAUUAACAUUUAAAUGCAGGAUGACUAUUUUCAUUGGCAAGGCACAUAAUGUGGAGCCUUUUUGUAAUAAGCAGUGGAUAGUCCUUCAGGGGAUGGAAAAUUUCUUGUCUGUUAGGGAGAAAAUGUCAAUGUUGUGUGCUGCUUCUUAUAUUUUCUGCUGCAUCUAUUUAUUCAGGAAACUAUCUCAGUUGUAAAUGUUUUUGUUUUCAAAUGAUUAACUGCUGGAAAAAAAGCACUGUAAUAUUACUCAACUUUUAACAUUAGUGAUGCAAAUUUAUACAGGAACAUUACAACGACCAUUUCAUUGCUUAGUGUAAUGUUCAUGACCACUCUUUCUCCAGUCGCCUGCACUUUGCUAGCUCCUCCCUGGCUCUGCACUGUGAGGGAAACUGGCCUUUCUUCCCUCUCUUGCUGUUUAAAUUGCUAGGCAUGUGCCUACAGACACUCAUUGUUUUAGGCCUUUGCUUUGGCAUUUGUUAGUUACACCCCGGAGAGACACCUAAAGGGGACGAAAAUAGUACCUAUACGUUAGCUUACACAACGCUUCUAAUUAAA